rnacentral:lncRNA from 1 species
AUUUCCGCUGCGUUUUGGAUCGCAAUUCUCCUUCAUUAUGGACGAAGGAACACUAAGAAGUACAGUUUCAGAUGUCCUGAUUUGAAAGAGCUAAGGAAGCUAUCAUCUUUUGUAUUAGAUCCCUUGGACUUCAAGCAACGUCAUGGGAAGGUUUUAUCCGUGUUAUCUGAUGAUGUAGUUGAAGGACUCUUGAGUAUGUU